rnacentral:snoRNA from 1 species
CCCCUCUCAGGAUGGCACCUGGAGAGUUUCCAGUACUCUCCCAGCCUUGGCUACGGGAGGAAGAGUCAAGCAGAGGCCUGUCCGUUCCAUUUCUGGCUUGGGCAGUGGCUAGCGAGUGGUAGGCAAUCUGCUACAAGA